AGGAGUGUAGCUCAGUUAGGUAGAGCAGCGGUCUCCAAAACCGCGGGUCGGGGGUUCGAGUCCCUCCACUCCUGCCA
rnacentral:tRNA from 1 species